AUUGAACGCUGGCGGCAUGCUUUACACAUGCAAGUCGAACGGCAGCGCGGGCUUCGGCCUGGCGGCGAGUGGCGAACGGGUGAGUAAUACAUCGGAACGUGCCCGGUAGUGGGGGAUAGCGCGGCGAAAGCCGGAUUAAUACCGCAUACGACCUGAGGGUGAAAGCGGGGGAUCUUCGGACCUCGCGCUAUUGGAGCGGCCGAUGGCAGAUUAGCUAGUUGGUGGGGUAAAGGCCUACCAAGGCGACGAUCUGUAGCUGGUCUGAGAGGACGACCAGCCACACUGGGACUGAGACACGGCCCAGACUCCUACGGGAGGCAGCAGUGGGGAAUUUUGGACAAUGGGCGAAAGCCUGAUCCAGCAAUGCCGCGUGUGUGAUGAAGGCCUUCGGGUUGUAAAGCACUUUUGGCGGGAACGAAAAGGACUGUGCCAAUACCACGGUUCGAUGACGGUACCCGCAGAAUAAGCACCGGCUAACUACGUG
rnacentral:rRNA from 1 species